rnacentral:tRNA from 1 species
GGCGCAAUGGUUCAGUGAUAGAGCAUAUGAUUGCAAUCGAUUAUCGUAUGGUUCCCGAGUUCAAACCUCGAUUGCACCU